UACGGAGGGUGCGAGCGUUGUUCGGAAUUAUUGGGCGUAAAGCGCGCGCAGGCGGCUCUUUAAGUCUCACUGUGAAAGCCCGGGGCUCAACCCCGGGAGGCCAGGGGAUACUGGAGGGCUGGAGACAGGUAGAGGCGAGCGGAAUUCCGGGUGUAGCGGUGGAAUGCGUAGAGAUCCGGAAGAACACCAGAGGCGAAGGCGGCUCGCUGGACCUGUUCUGACGCUGAGGCGCGAAAGCGUGGGGAGCGAACAGG
rnacentral:misc_RNA from 1 species